AAUUAAAUAAAUAUUGAUCUGUACAGGUAAUUUUUUUAUACUUCUCCUUUACUGACAGGAAUAAAAAUUGUUUAGCUACCAGAAACUAAGUUACAUUUUCCAACUCCACCAGCUGAGAAAAAUGUUCCACAAUUAAAAUCUACAGAACUUGAGUAAGAUUGCUAUGGAAACCAGAGAAGACAAAACACAGCCUUACAGAGAGGUAAGGAUGAAGAGUUUCCCUAAAAGGAAAAAGCUGAAUUUCAGAAUAUAUUCUGGAAAGAUAUCCUGGAGAGAUAUUCGCCUGGGAAAGGCUAAUAAAGCUAACCUUGGACUAAGAGAGAGAAAACUAUCUCCCCCAGACUGGUUCAUUUUGAAUGACUGAGUCUCAACUUUUGGAGCCAGGCAAGU
rnacentral:lncRNA from 12 species